rnacentral:rRNA from 1 species
AAAAUUCUAAUAUAUGCUCCGAUAUUCACUAGUGAUUUCUGGUUGAUCCCGGCGGAGGCCGAGGCCUUCUACCGGGAGGCUCUGCGCAAAUAUCCCAAUAACGAGGUGCUGCUGAACUGCCUGCUGAUGGUGAUCCCCAACGAGCGAGAC